GACGAACGCUGGCGGCGUGCCUAAUACAUGCAAGUUGAGCGCUGAAGGUUGGUACUUGUACCAACUGGAUGAGCAGCGAACGGGUGAGUAACGCGUGGGGAAUCUGCCUUUGAGCGGGGGACAACAUUUGGAAACGAAUGCUAAUACCGCAUAAAAACUUUAAACACAAGUUUUAAGUUUGAAAGAUGCAAUUGCAUCACUCAAAGAUGAUCCCGCGUUGUAUUAGCUAGUUGGUGAGGUAAAGGCUCACCAAGGCGAUGAUACAUAGCCGACCUGAGAGGGUGAUCGGCUACAUUGGGACUGAGACACGGCCCAAACUCCUACGGGAGGCAGCAGUAGGGAAUCUUCGGCAAUGGACGAAAGUCUGACCGAGCAACGCCGCGUGAGUGAAGAAGGUUUUCGGAUCGUAAAACUCUGUUGGUAGAGAAGAACGUUGGUGAGAGUGGAAAGCUCAUCAAGUGACGGUAACUACACAGAAAGGGACGGCUAACUACGUG
rnacentral:rRNA from 1 species